rnacentral:pre_miRNA from 1 species
CAUGUACUCCCUCCGUUCCAAAAUAGAUGACCCAACUUUGUACUAAAGUUAGUACAAAGUUGGGUCAUCUAUUUUGGAACGGAGGGAGUAUAAC